GACGAACGCUGGCGGCGUGGAUUAGGCAUGCAAGUCGAACGGUAUCAUCCUUUCGGGGGUGAGAGAGUGGCGAACUGGUGAGUAACACGUAGGUUAUCUACCCUCAAGACGGGGACAACCCAGGGAAACUUGGGCUAAUACCGGAUGUGAGCAACUUUUAGUUGUUUGAAAGGUGGCGUAAGCUGUCGCUUGGGGAUGAGCCUGCGUCCUAUUAGUUAGUUGGUGAGGUAACGGCUCACCUAGGCAAUGAUAGGUAGGCGGCCUUAACGGGUGGUCGCCCACACUGGGAUUGAGAUACGGCCCAGACUCCUACGGGAGGCAGCAGUCGAGAAUAGUCUACAAUGGUCGGAAGACUGAUAGUGCGACGCCGCGUGAACGAUGAAUCCCUUCGGGGUGUAAAGUUCUUUUAUAUGUGAGCAGUGCUUCUUAUAUUAACAGUAUGGGGAGAGAGAUAUUAGCAUAUGAAUAAGCAACGGCUAACUCCGUGCCAGCAGCCGGCGGUACUA
rnacentral:rRNA from 1 species